AGUAGAGUCAGCUAAAUAAGCUUUCGGGCCCAUACCCCGAACAUGUUGGUUAAAACCCUUCCCCUACUG
rnacentral:tRNA from 1 species